UACAGAGGGGGCAAGCGUUAUUCGGAAUUAUUGGGCGUAAAGGGCGCGUAGGCGGCUUUGCAAGUGACGGGUGAAAUCCCUCGGCUUAACCGAGGAACUGCCUGUCAGACUGCAUGGCUUGAGACCGGGAGAGGUGAGUGGAAUUCCCAGUGUAGCGGUGAAAUGCGUAGAUAUCAGGAGGAACACCUGCGGUGUAGACGGCUUACUGGACCAUAACUGACGCUGAGGCACGAAAGCGUGGGUAGCAAACAGG
rnacentral:rRNA from 1 species